AGAGACGAAAGCCUGACUGCUACUAAAUAGUAAUGGCAGAAAAGUCAAGAAACUCAACAUUUGUCUCUUCUUCUUGUUGUUGUUGCUAUUUUCUGUUCCUGUUGGCCCAUUCGUUGCUUUAGUUAUUUUUUUCAGUGUGCUAAAGUCGUAGUCCAAGUCUCAGCCAAAGUGCCCAACGGACAACUAUUAAAGAAAAACAACAACAACAACAACAACAACAAAGAAACGAUGAAAAACAAAUACACGCUACUUACACUUACUAGCCAUACAUAACUACAAUACAUAUGCAUCUCUCCAUAUCUCUCGCUCUAUCUUUCUCUCUCGCUCUCAGUCUCUCUCUCCCGCUCUGCCUUGCUUACUCGCUGUGUAGCGCACGUACAUUUAAUACUUAACUCAACCUCUUGUGUCGUCGCCAUCGUCGUAGUUGCUAUUGUACAGUUCCACAGAAAAUUUAUACAACGCACGGACGGUGAGCGGCUGCGAAGACACAAAGGAUGGGUGGGGGAGGAGAGGGGGCGAAAAGCAAUGCUAUACCUUUUCGAUCUUUUCGACAUAUGCGUGGUAAUUUACAAACUCACGACAAUGAGCACACAAUCUGUAUGAUAAUUCACAUCUACUUGCUAUAACAAUGGAUCCGGAAGAGCAGCUAAACAGCUAUGCAUGUAUAUAUCUACAUAUCUAUAUACA